rnacentral:tRNA from 1 species
GCGGGCGUAGUUUAGUGGUAGAAUGAGAGCUUCCCAAGCUUUUGAUGUGGGUUCGAUUCCCAUCGCCCGCU